UCGAACGCGAAAGUCCCGCAAGGGAUGAGUAGAGUGGCAAACGGGUGAGUAACACGUGGGUGACCUGCCCUCGAGCGGGGGAUAACGUCCCGAAAGGGACGCUAAUACCGCAUGACAUCCUGCCUUUGAACAGGCGGAGAUCAAAGCUGGGGAUCGCAAGACCUAGCACUCGAAGAGGGGCCCGCGCCUGAUUAGCUAGUUGGUGAGGUAAUGGCUCACCAAGGCUACGAUCAGUAUCCGGCCUGAGAGGGCGGACGGACACACUGGGACUGAGACACGGCCCAGACUCCUACGGGAGGCAGCAGUGGGGAAUUGUUCGCAAUGGGCGCAAGCCUGACGACGCAACGCCGCGUGGAGGAUGAAGACCUUCGGGUCGUAAACUCCUUUCGAUCGAGACGAAUGGCCUCCGGGUGAACAAUCCGGAGGAGUGACGGUACCGAGAGAAGAAGCCCCGGCUAACUCCGUGCCAGCAGCCGCGGUAAUACGGGGGGGGCAAGCGUUGUUCGGAAUUACUGGGCGUAAAGGGCUCGUAGGCGGCCAACUAAGUCAGACGUGAAAUCCCUCGGCUUAACCGGGGAACUGCAUCUGAUACUGGAUGGCUUGAGUUCGGGAGAGGGAUGCGGAAUUCCAGGUGUAGCGGUGUAAUGCGUAGAUAUCUGGAGGAACACCGGUGGCGAAGGCGGCAUCCUGGACCGACACUGACGCUGAGGAGCGAAAGCCAGGGGAGCAAACGGGAUUAGAUACCCCGGUAGUCCUGGCCCUAAACGAUGAAUGCUUGGUGUGGCGGGGUAUCGAUCCCUGCCGUGCCGAAGCUAACGCAUUAAGCAUUCCGCCUGGGGAGUACGGUCGCAAGGCUGAAACUCAA
rnacentral:rRNA from 1 species